UAGGGAAUCUUCCGCAAUGGGCGAAAGCCUGACGGAGCAACGCCGCGUGAGUGAUGAAGGUCUUCGGAUCGUAAAACUCUGUUAUUAGGGAAGAACAAAUGUGUAAGUAACUAUGCACGUCUUGACGGUACCUAAUCAGAAAGCCACGGCUAACUACGUGCCAGCAGCCGCGGUAAUACGUAGGUGGCAAGCGUUAUCCGGAAUUAUUGGGCGUAAAGCGCGCGUAGGCGGUUUUUUAAGUCUGAUGUGAAAGCCCACGGCUCAACCGUGGAAGGUCAUUGGAAACUGGAAAACUUGAGUGCAGAAGAGGAAAGUGGAAUUCCAUGUGUAGCGGUGAAAUGCGCAGAGAUAUGGAGGAACACCAGUGGCGAAGUCGACUUUCUGGUCUGUAACUGACGCUGAUGUGCGAAAGCGUGGGGAUCAAACAGG
rnacentral:rRNA from 1 species